UUAUUUUUGGAACCUUGAGAGUGAUUCUCUUCCUUGCUUAUUGUAUAUGGUGAUUCCUCUCCUUACAGUAGCAAUCCUUGAAAGUCUAAGAGCCAUUCCGCAUCUCUUAGAAGUUUCAUUCGAUCCACCCACUUGCUUUUUGUAUUUUGGAUUCAAACUCCUUACAGAAGCAAUCCUUGAGAGUUUAAGAGCCAUUUCACAUCUCUUAGAAGUCUCAGUCGAUCCACUGGUAAAUCAAGAGUUUUUCGCACCUCUUGUGUCACCAUCCGCUCCACAUCCUUUGAUCAUUGAGACUUCAUGGUUUUUUUUAAUCCAAAGCUUAACCUUUACCAAUUUCUGAGUGCUGAUUUUGGGAAGAUCUUAUCAGGAAGUCUCUAGAAAAGAUUAUCAAAAUUUGAUCGAAGUCACUGGGAAAACACUUGUAGGUGUUGGUAUCCGAGAUAAAUUCCAAGUUUGUAUAGCGGGAGGGCAUUCAAAAAGUACAUGAUUAAAAGUUUCUUCCUCCGCUCCACAUCGUACACAUUGUGUGUCACAUUGUAUACCACGGGUUCGUACCUAGCCGACACCGAUAAACACCCGUAUAAUGCCAGCCAAAUAAAGUGUUUUAACUUUGGUGGACAUCUUAAUUUCCAUGUAUAUGUUUGUAAUAGCGUUAUUUCUGGGCCAUAUCUAUUCGCUAAGCUAUUACUCGAACCAUUUUGCCCAACCUGAUGGCCUGAUUUAACCGUAUAUUCUCCAUUUUUUUUGUAAAAUGUCAUCCAAGAUAAUC
rnacentral:lncRNA from 1 species